AUCAAACGCAUCUGUUGGUAGCAUGUGAUGUGCGAGUCAUGUUAGUUAUAUUUUGUUAUAACUAUGUUACUUUAUCAUGCAUUCUUUCUUCUCUCGUUUUCAAUAUUGAAUGAAGCUACAUUUCAAGAAUUGUACAAUGCGCUGAAUGGGCCUCAUUUGAGGACGAGAAACCGCUUUUGUGAAAGCUUAUUCCCAAAAUGCCCUCCGAUCAAUUGUCGUCUCCAUGAUGAUGUUAUACGUGGUUUCUGCUGCGGAUGUGCCUACGAGUAUGAUGUAAUCCCAGGUUUCUACUGCACUGCUGAACAUUGGUGUCCUCAACAGUUGCGGUACAAAAAUGCUUUAUGUUUUAACUACAAUCAUCUCAUGAAUUGCUGUUGUUGACAAAGCAAUCGUAUUACAACUUUCGACUUAAACACUAACACUAAGAUCACACUAACACUGAUUUAUAGGCUGUACAUACUAAUAAUACUGUACAUUAGUAUACAAGGAGAAUGAAAAAUUGUGUUACAGUGAUUUUUAUCUAGGACGAAUCAAAAUUGUGGCUAGUGGCUAUAGUGUUUCAAACAUAGAUGUGAGUAAGAGUUGGAUCAAUCGCCUGCCCAAAAAAAUGUUAGGGGCUUGUAUCCCCUUAAAGCAUUUAAAGUUCACAGUUACACAUGGUGCUGGUGUUUAAACUAACAAUAGGGAUGAGUAAAUAAUAAAAUACAGUUACAGUAAUUAGGGUCAUAGCCAAAAAAGUCUUUGUA